GCGGUGCUGGGGGUUAAGCUGCAACACCAGAGCAUGUGCUCUCAAAUAACUGAAGCCGCCAAUCCCCUGCAAGGUGGGUGGCCCUUUUAACCAUGAGCAACACAA
rfam:Loxodonta africana unplaced genomic scaffold scaffold_73, whole genome shotgun sequence.